rnacentral:lncRNA from 1 species
GUCGUUGCCACUGUUCAUAAUCAUGUUGAUGUGCUCCCUUCUGUUGCAGUGUCCUUACAUGCAAAAGACAAGGAG